GACGAACGCUGGCGGCGUGCUUAACACAUGCAAGUCGAACGGAAGGGCCUCUUUCGGGGGGUACUCGAGUGGCGAACGGGUGAGUAACACGUGAGUAACCUGCCCUUGACUUUGGGAUAACUUCAGGAAACUGGGGCUAAUACCGGAUAGGAGCUCCUGCUGCAUGGUGGGGGUUGGAAAGUUUCGGCGGUUGGGGAUGGACUCGCGGCUUAUCAGCUUGUUGGUGGGGUAGUGGCUUACCAAGGCUUUGACGGGUAGCCGGCCUGAGAGGGUGACCGGCCACAUUGGGACUGAGAUACGGCCCAGACUCCUACGGGAGGCAGCAGUGGGGAAUAUUGAACAAUGGGUGGAAGCCUGAUGCAGCAACGCCGUGUGCGGGAUGACGGCCUUCGGGUUGUAAACCGCUUUCGCUCAUGACGAAGCUUUGUGUGACGGUAGUGGGUAAAGAAGCACCGGCUAACUACGUG
rnacentral:rRNA from 1 species